UCUCCAGAUCCUUCGGCCGAGCUAAGGCCGGAUUCCGGCGCAGCCCCAGCGGGGCAACGCCUCCCUAGCUCUGCGCACACGCCCUUUCCUCCUCCUCCUCCGCGGCGGAGUCGCCCCCUUGCUCCCAAUCCUGCCCCUCCGUCCUUCGGGGCCGGCCUGGGGCCUCGACCUCCGGAAAAGCGCGCCACGGCCUCUUCUGCCCACCCGAGGCCACACUGCGGAGCGCAGCGACCGCUGGCCCCGGACCCCGGGCCUGACCUUCCCACCCUCCCUGCUGACUUGGGGCUGGGACUGGGAGAAUACCAGAUACACCUGGAGCUUAUUGCAAGAAAAUCAGCAGCCGCGCACGGCUGAGGACGCACCGAAGACACAGGAAACAACCUGACAGAGGCCCAAACGUCCCAAACCUCAGGCACAAAACAUCUAUCAUGCCGUGGUGUUAGAAAUAAAUACAUGAAUCUAUACGUGGAGGGCACGGGUCUCCUACAAACCAGCUGCACAGGAGCGAUGGUCUCACUCGCCCCUUCCGGGAGCUGCGGCCAGGCAUGCAGGUGCGCUGCCUCGGUGAGGUGUGGCGGACGGGGGUCUGGAGAUGAGGUGUUGAGGAGAGCCUCGCCACUGAUAAACGCAGAGCGCAGGCCCCUAUGGAGAGACAGGCUGCGAACCCCAGGAGCAGCGCGCGUCCGAACUGGGUCUGCCAUCAAAGCAAGGGAGACUGAGGCGGUCUCGCCGCCGCGUACGCAGAGGAGCCUGCCCUGCCACGGGAACGAGGGCCCCUAGCCGUGGAAACUGGCCGUGAAGGCGCGCGUGGAUGCGGGGGCCUGGAGCGCCGUGGGCGUGUGCCGCGUUCCAGCAGUCCAAGGCCUCCAGGGACUGCCGCUCACCCUCCCCUUCGCAGCAAGGAGUUCCGCCCGCACUAGGUCUUGCGGCCUCUGUCAGGUAGUUUCCUGUGUCUCUUUGGUGCGUCCUCAGCCGUGCGCGGCCCCCUGAGGUCUCCAGCCUGCCCGCCCUCUCUGCAGAUGUUGGAGUUACCGAGCCUCCACAAUCAUUGAACUAUCUGGCACCCACAACAGAGAACUUCCAAGAUUAGUCACCGGAUGGAGUGCUUCACUCAGCAGGCAAAUGAAGUGAGACCCACACACCUUGCUUCUUACCCUCACAACUACCCUGAAAAGUGACUGCUCAUUUGAGAAAAGAAAACCAAGAGCCAGAAAUAUUGAGAUAUCACAGGCAGAGUGGACAGUGAGAGAGAGAGACAGAGAGAAAGGUCUUCCUUUGCCAUUGGUUCACCCUCCAAUGGCCACCACAGCCAGCGCACUGCGGCUGGCGCACCAUACUGAUCUGAUGGCAGGAGCCAGGUACUUAUCCUGGUCUCCCAUGGGCUUCAGGGCCCAAGUACUUGGGCCAUCCUCCACUGUACUCCCUGGCCACAGCAGAGAGCCGGCCUGGAAGAGGGGCAACCGGGACAGAUCCGGCACCCCGACCGGGACUAGAACCCGGUGUGCCGGCACCGCAAGGCGGAGGAUUAGCCUAGUGAGCUGCAGCGCCAGCCUCAUUAUUCUUUCAAAAUGAAAAACAAUUACCCAAAUACAACCUAUGAAGAAUGAAAUUAAAUUUAAACACCUAAGAAUAAUUGUGUGUUAAUUACACAGUUCAACCAAUGGUACUAGAGGGAAGUGAGAUACACAGCAGACCCAUAGAAUGGCAGAUGUCCUAAACAGCACUCUGGCCUAAGAAUCAGCCCUUAAGGCAUGUGGAUCUGGCUGAAAAGCCCAUGAGAGUAUUUCAGGCAUGGAAAGCCAAGACACUCUGGCAAAAAAAAAAAAAAAAAAAACCCUAAAUGAAAGAUCUCCGUGAGUGAGAUCCCAGUGGAAAGAACGGGUCAUCAAAGAAGGAGGUACCUUUCUCUGAAGGGAGGAGAGAACUUCCACUUUGACCAUGCCUUGGCUAAGUAUGAUCAGAGUCGGUGAACUCAGGGGGCUUCCAUAGCCUUGGCAGCUCAUGACAAGAGCCUAGGGUGAUUACUGAUGCCAUAAACAAGAGUGUUAAUUUGUUAAGUCAACAACAGGAGUCACUGUGCAUUUACUCCUCAUGUAGGAUCUUUGUCCUUAGUGUGCUGUACAUUGAGAUUUAAUGCUAUAACUAGUACUCAAACAGUAUUUUUCACUUUAUGUUUCUGUGUGAGAGCAAACUGUUGAAAUCUUUACUUAAUGUAUGCUAAACUGAUCUUCUGUAUAUAAAGAGAAUCAAAAAUGAAUCUUGAUGUGAAUGGAAGGGGAGAGGGAGUGGGAAAGGGGAGGGUUGCAGUGGGAGGGACGUUAUGGGGGGGAAGCCAUUGUAAUCAAUAUUCUGUACUUUGGAAAUUUAUAUUCAUUAAAUAAAAGUUAAAAAAAAAGAAAUUAUGGGACAUGUACUCUAUAGAAUACUAUACAGCAGUCAAAAACAACGAAAUCCAGUCAUUUGCAACAAAAUGGAGGAAUCUGGAAAACAUCAUGCUGAGUGAAUUAAGCUAGUACCAAAGGGACAAAUAUCAUAUGUUCUCCCUGAUCGGCGACAACUGAGCACCAAAGGGGAAACCUAUUGAAGUGAAAUGGACACUAUGAGAAACAGUGACUUGAUCAGUUCUUGUCCUGACUGUUGAUGUACAAUGUAAUACUUUAUCCAUUUUAGUAUUUUCUCUUUGUUUUGUUCUAGUACUAUUGGUUGAACUCUGUGACUUACACACAAUUAUCCUGAGGUGUUUAAAUUUUAACUGAAAAUUGAUCCCUGUUAAAUAUAAGAGUGGGAAUAAGAGAGGGAGGAGACAUACAAUUUGGGACAUACUCAAUUGGACUUGCCCCAAAGGGUGGAGUUAGAAAUGUGCCAGGGGAUCCCAAUACAAUCCCAUCAAGGUGGCAUGUACCAAUGCCAUUUCACUAGUCCAAGUGAUCAAUUUCAGUUCACAAUUGAUCACACUGAUAGGUCUAAGAGUCAAAGGGAUCACACAAACAAGACUAGUGUCUAAUAAUAGCUGAUAGAAUCAAAAAGGGAGAGAACAAUCCAACAUGGAAAGCGGGAUACACAGCAGAAUCAUAGAAUGGCAGAUGUCCUAAAUAGCACUCUGGCCUCAGAAUCAGCCCUUAAGGCCUUCGGAUCUGGCUGAAGAGCCCAUGAGAAUAUUUUAGGCAUGGAAAACCAAGACACCCUGGAAAAAAAAGGAAGACCUAAAUGGAAGAUCUCUGCAAGAGUGGAAAGAAUGGGGCCAUCAAAGAAAGAGUUACCUUUCUCUGAAGGGAGGAGAGAACUUCCACUUUGACUAUGACCCUGUUGGAAUAAGAUUGAAGUCAGUGAACUCAAAAGGCUUCCAUAGCCUUGGAAACUCAUGACUAGAGCCUAGGGAGAUUACUGACACCAUAAACAAGAGUGUCAAAUUGUUAAGUCAACAACAGGAGUCACUGUGUACUUACUUCUCAUGUGUGAUCUGUCCUUAGUGUGUUGUCCAGUGUGAAGUAAUGCUAUAACUAGCACUGAAACAGUAUUUUACACUUUGUGUUUCUGUGUGGGUGCAAACUGAUGAAAUCUUUACUUAAUAUGUACUGAAUCAAUCUUCUGUAAAUAAAGAUAAUUGAAAAUGAAUCUUGAUGUGAAUGGAAUGGGAGAAGGAGC